rnacentral:lncRNA from 1 species
GGGUUAGUCCAUAUUCUCCUUGUAACGGCUUAACGUUCGAAAAAUUUCUGAAGUCAUCAGUCUGAGCCCGACCAAAUGGUCGGGGGUAGUAUGAUGUAGUCCUCGAUUGUUGGCCAAAAAAUUUAUUCGGGGAUUAGGUCUGUUGGGGUUGUUCACUUCCUCUUGGCUCCAGAGAAUCUGAGUCAGAGCUACAGCAAUGAGGGUUCUCUCACAGAAGGAGCAAAAUAUAUAAAUAAUGUAUACAAUUGAGAUUCACAUAGUAUGGAAUGAGCAGGAUAUUCAGAUGGUGCUUGCUACUGAUG